rnacentral:rRNA from 1 species
GACGAACGCUGGCGGCGUGCCUAAUACAUGCAAGUAGAACGCACAGUUUAUAACGUAGCUUGCUACACCAUAGACUGUGAGUUGCGAACGGGUGAGUAACGCGUAGGUAACCUGCCUGGUAGCGGGGGAUAACUAUUGGAAACGAUAGCUAAUACCGCACCAUAUUAUUUAUUCCAUGAUACUUAAUUGAAAGCUGCAAUUGCACAACUACCAGAUGGUCCUGCGUUGUAAUAGCUAGUAGGUGAGGUAACGGCCCACCCAGGCGACGGUACAUAGCCGACCUGGGAGGGUGAUCGGCCACACUGGGACUGAGGCACGGCCCAGGCUCCUACGGGGGGCAGCAGUAGGGAAACUUCGGCAAUGGACGGAAGUCUGGCCGAGCAACGCCGCGGGAGUGAAGGAGGUUUUCGGAGCGUAAAGCUCUGUUUGAAGAGAAGAACGGGUGGGAGGGUGGAAAGUUCACGCUGUGACGGUAUCUUACCAAAAAGCGACGGCUAACUACGUG